rnacentral:miRNA from 1 species
GUUGUCGAACAAGUCGUAUAGU